AUUGAACGCUGGCGGCAGGUUUAACACAUGCAAGUCGAGCGGAGAUGAGGUGCUUGCACCUUAUCUUAGCGGCGGACGGGUGAGUAAUGCUUAGGAAUCUGCCUAUUAGUGGGGGACAACAUUCCGAAAGGAAUGCUAAUACCGCAUACGUCCUACGGGAGAAAGCAGGGGAUCUUCGGACCUUGCGCUAAUAGAUGAGCCUAAGUCGGAUUAGCUAGUUGGUGGGGUAAAGGCCUACCGAGGCGACGAUCUGUAGCGGGUCUGAGAGGAUGACCCGCCACACUGGGACUGAGACACGGCCCAGACUCCUACGGGAGGCAGCAGUGGGGAAUAUUGGACAAUGGGGGAAACCCUGAUCCAGCCAUGCCGCGUGUGUGAAGAAGGCCUUAUGGUUGUAAAGCACUUUAAGCGAGGAGGAGGCUACUGAGACUAAUACUCUUGGAUAGUGGACGUUACUCGCAGAAUAAGCACCGGCUAACUCUGUGCCAGCCGCCGCCGUAA
rnacentral:rRNA from 1 species